UAACGAAUAUUCCGCAAUGCGCGAAAGCGUGACGGAGCAAUGCCGCGUGCAGGAUGAAGCCCCUCGGGGUGUAAACUGCUGUCAGGGAUUAGGAACACAAUGACCAACCCCAAAGGAAGGACCGGCUAACUCUGUGCCAGCAGCCGCGGUAAUACAGAGGGUCCAAGCGUUGAUCGGAAUCACUGGGCUUAAAGGGUUCGUAGGCGGAUCUGUAAGUAUGUUGUGAAAUCCCACAGCUCAACUGUGGAAUUGCUUCGUAGACUGCAGAUCUUGAGCACGACAGGGGCCAUCAGAACGAUAGGUGGAGCGGUGAAAUGCGUAGAUAUCUAUCGGAAUGCCAAAGGUGAAGACAGAUGGCUGGGUCGUCGCUGACGCUCAGGAACGAAAGCAUGGGUAGCGAACGGGAUUAGAUACCCCCGUAGUCC
rnacentral:rRNA from 1 species